rnacentral:lncRNA from 1 species
UCACUCUCAACUAUUUAAUCAUACAAAUUAGGAGACAAGCGUGGUUUGACGAGGACAUCAAGAGGAGUCAGUUUUAUGUUCGUAAGUCCAAUACUUCCAGUCAUAUCAACUGGUGCGUUUUCUUGAGUCGUGACAUCAAACGAAUGAAGAAAACUAGCCAAAGUUAAAAGUGUCAUCUGAAGGCCAAAACUUAUCCCAGGGCAUGCUCUUCUACCACUGCCAAACGGCAUCAGCUCAAACUGCUGACCCCGAACAUCAACAUCCUUAUGGGUAGUGAGAAAUCUCUCUGGCUUGAACUCCAUCGGGUCGGCCCAAACCCGUGGAUCAGUUUGGAUCUUCCACAGGUUCACUAGCAGCCACGUACCUUUUGGAACAUGGUACCCUCCUACGGUACAGUCUUCUGUGAACUCCCUCUGGCCUGAGAGUGGUCCAGCUGGGCAUAAACGCAUUGCUUCUUUAACAGUGGCCUGCAGGUACACCAGAUUAUUUAUAUCUGACUCAUCCAGCAGUCUUCCUUUGCCAACAUACUGAUCAAGUUCUUCAUAAACUUUCUUCAAAACUUGGCGGUUGUUCAAAAGCAAAGAGAGUGUCCACGUCAGGGUCACCAUGGUUGUGUCACUCGCUCCAGCAAUCAAAAUCUGCACAAUCAAAAUUUUGGUGAUUAUUAAAACAAAUUUAGCCAAUGACCAUUUGGUUUAGCAGCAUCCAGUAUCGACUUUGUUCGACCAGGUGCUGAGUUGAAAUAUGACGGACAAAGGUCGUUGUAGAAAAAAUUAAAAUAAAUUAACAUAUAUACCAAACAUGUUGCUUUGAUGACGGUAUCAGCAUCGAAGCCAGCAACAUCCGUUCCAUCGAUGGCUGAAAGCAUGACAUCCAUGAAAUCUUGAUCUUUUCCUUUAGUUCUUUUCUGCUUGUGCUCCUCCAACCAUUCCGCAACAAUACUGUCCAAUUCUUUGGCAGUUUUCUUCAUGGCCUUCUGCUGUCCACCCAAAUCCAACCAACUAAGCCAAGGAACAGCAUCUCCCAACACAAACAAUCCCGCCAAAUGAAAGAACUCUCUCAUGGCUUUUUGCCACCGCCUUGCCUCCUUCUCCUCACUCAAAUUCCCAUUCAUAAAGCAUCUCUUUCCAGCAACCAUCCUAAAAAUCACAUUUAGAGUCAAAUCCCCAAACCACUGCUUCAUCUCCACUAAACGCUCCCCCGAGCUUUCUUUUCUUUUGAUCCAUAAAGUGUACAGCUCUUUCAAACUCAUCUCCACUUCUGAUACUCGAACUUUUUUCAGUAGCUCGAGCCUGCGGUUUGAGAGUAACUCGAGGGAUGUGAGCUUGCGCAUUUCACGCCAGUAUGAACCGUAGGGGCUAAACCCGAACAUGGCAAAGUUGUAGCCCAAGUGCUUAGCUCCUAGCGUAGCCGGACGGGAGGAAACAACUAUGUCGUUUGUGGUGAAGCAGUCCUUGGCCGCCUCCCAAGUACUUAUCACCAGAGCAGAGUGGAUACCAAUGUUGAUGGUGAAGGCUGGUCCAUACUUGUCAACCAAGGAAGCCAAAGCUAUGUGAGGAAGCUGAGAUCCUCUGAAUAGGCCAAAAUGACCUAACAGAGGCCACCCGCCUGCAACUUUUGGUAGUUUAGGACCCUUGGCUUUGGCAGCUGAGCUUGAUCUCUUUAUGAUAAAGUAGGAAAAUAAAAGUAUGGCUAGGAUUCCAGCUAUGGCAGUGUUUAGGCAUGGGAGAUACAACUCCAUUGUUGCAAAGGGAAGGUUGAGGGUAGCUGUCAUUCAUGCAGUAGUUCUUAUUUAUAGUCAAUAUCAGUGUUUUUUCUUCGUGGGACUUUCAGGUCAGCGUUCUUAAGUUUGUUUUGGAAGAGGGCCAAUGAGGAUUGUUUUCUAUAAGAUAAUUCGUAUUUUCAGAAAUACAUUUGACUCACUCAAUAUAAUAAUUGAUGCGUAGGAUAGGAAGCAAACUGUACUUUGGCAACAUUCUGAUCAGACAAGAAAAUGGGUUAUUUUAAUAGAAUUUGACGUCAUCGCUGCAACAUUGGGAAAAGGACCCCUGAGGUGAUGAAAUAACCUUCAUGAUUGAAGAUUAUCUUUUGCACGGUUUGAGACUUAAACUUAUCUCCUUUGACCAAAAAAAAAAAGUAUUUAAAUUUAUCUCCUUUGAACCAAAAAAAAAAUUAUUUAAACUUAUCCGAGACUCUGUUUUUUUAAUUUCUCUAGAAGAUAACAUCAACCUAAUAUUAAGCAGUCCUAUAUCCUGCCAAAAUUGCUUUUGCAAUAAGCAGUUUCACUUUGGCCUUUCUUCAGCUCAGCAAUUAAAUUAUCAAUCGGCUUUCCCUAGCGGUAUACCAAGUUUUGUCCUCCUGUUCUCUCUUGAUUAAUUUUCUUCUUGUUCAUCUAUUACUAUUUGGAUAAUGCUUGGGACAUCAUCUUUUUGUAUUAUAUUUGUGCACUAAUUUAUGUGACUGUUGAGUUAGCUAUGCCACAUCGUUAAGUGAGUUUUUAAUAUUUUUUUCACCUUUCACUUUACAGUCAUGUAAAUCAUAUUAAAAUUAUUUAAAAAAAAAAAAAAAAUCUUCAUUCUCUUCUCCUACCUCUUAGCCAGCUAACCCUCUCUCCCUCCUUAAUCAACCUCACCUUUCAGCCACCCCUCUCCAGUUGCCCAUCCUUCCCUCAGCCAUAAUCUUGUACAUGAACCUACCCUCAACCAUACACCAGAUUUCCCAAACAUUGAAAAGUGAAUCUCACCUACAGGUAUAGGGUCGAAAUCUUUUGAACAAUCACAAGGACACUGAGGGCAGGGACUUUUCUCCUUCAAGCUCCAGUGCAAAGAUGGACGUAUAUCCAACCAAACACACCGCCAUUAAACAAAAACUAGCCUCACAGCAAAAAAAGACAAAACUCAACUUCGGUUUGUUUGUUUCCAAAUUUGCAGAAAGUCCAAGAUCGUAUCAAAAACCCAUUUCAGGUCCGGGGUUACAUAACUCAGAAUAUCAAUUAAACUCAAAACUUGACUGCACUUGAAAAAAAAUUAAUAAUAUCCAAUCAAAAAUGCCCAUUUCAAGAUCUGGGACCUGCAAUGAGAAUCUGACAAACUCAAUGACUGGUGUAUGGCUGAGGGAAGGAUAGGCGACGGGAGAGGGGUGGCUGAAAGGUGGGGUUGAGUAGGGAGGGAGGGUUGGCUGGGUAGGAGGUAGGAGAAGAGAGCCGAGAUUUGUUUUAAAAUUUUAAUGAUUUUAAUAUGAUUUAAAUGAGUCUGUAAAGUUUAAGGUCAAAAAAUAAUAAAAUAUUAAAAAUUCAUUUAAUGAUGUGGUAUCGACAAAUGUAUGUUAACUAAAAAGUGGAACCCAUUUGUCAAAACUAGAGGAAACGCAUGAAGCUCAUUGGGCAUAAGUAGAAGAUAGAUUUAGUAAAGCCAAACUUUUUAGAUUAGGGUCAUGCUAGGGAGAUCAACUUUAGAUACCAACUUGUGUACCAACUCUCUAAUAGAGGUGGAGCCCACCAAUACAAUGGGUCCCACACUCUCUUAGAGAGUUGGUACACAAGUUGGUAUCUAAAGUUGGUCUCCCUAGCAUUUUCCUUUAGAUUAAUACAUUCAGAACAUGAACAUAAGCAUAUGUACUUUUCAUAUCGUAGCAUUUAUUUUCAUAUAUAUAUAUAUAUAUAUAUCUAAGUUCACAAUUCUGAACUUAUUCAUAAAGAUUUGGAGACAAGCGUGGUUUAACGAGGACAUCAAGAGGAGAGAGUUUCAUGUUUGUAAGUCCAGCGCUUCCGGUCAUAUCAACCGGUGCAUUUCCUCGGGUCGUGACAUCAAACCAAUGAAGAAAACUAGCCAAAGUUAAAAGCGUUGUUUGAAGGCCAAGAUUUAUCCCAGGGCAUGCUCUUCUACCACUACCAAACGGCAUCAGCUCAAAUUGCUGACCCCGAACAUCAACAUCCUUAUGGGUGGUCAGAAAUCUCUCUGGCUUGAACUCCAUCGGGUCGGCCCAAACCCUUGGGUCAGUUUGGAUCUUCCACAGGUUCACUAACAGCCACGUGCCUUUUGGAACAUGGUACCCUCCUACAGUACAGUCCUCUGUGAAUUCCCUUUGGAAUGAGAGUGGUCCAGGUGGGCAUAAACGCAUUGCUUCUUUAACAGUGGCCUGCAGGUACACCAGAUUAUUUAUAUCUGACUCAUUCAACUGUCUUCCUUUGCCAACAUGCUGGUCAAGUUCUUCAUAAACUUUCUUCAAAAUUUGGCGGUUGUUCAAAAGCAAAGAGAGUGUCCACGUCAGGGCCACCCUGGUUGUGUCACUCCCUCCAGAAAUCAUAGCCUGCAUAAUCAAAAUUUUGGUGAUUAAUAAAAUAAAUUUAUCCUAUGACCAUUUGGUUUAGCAACAUCCAGUCUCCACUCCAUUGAAUGAGGCGCUGAGUUUAAAUAUGACGGACAAAGAUCGUCGUAGUUUAAAAAUAAAAUAAAACAUAUUUAUAUAUGUACCAAACAUGUUGCUUUGAUGAUGGUAUCAGCAUCAAAGCCAGCAAUAUCUGCUCCAUCGAUGGCUGAAAGCAUGACAUCCAUGAAAUCUUGAUCUUUUCCUUUAGUUCUUUUCUGCUUGUGCUCCUCCAACCAUUCCGAAACAAUACUAUCCAGUUCUUCGGCAGUUCUCUUCAUGGCCUUCUGCUGUCCACCCAAAUCCAACCAACUAAGCCAAGGAACAGCAUCUCCCAACACAAACAAUCCCACCAAAUGAAAGAACUCCCUCAUGGCUUUUUGCCUCCGCCUUGCCUCCUUCUCCUUACUCAAACCCCCAUUCAUAAAACAUCUCUUCCCAGCAACCAUCCUAAAAACCACAUUUAGAGUCAAACCUCCAAACCACUGCUUCAUCUCCACCAAAAGCUCCCCAGACCCUUCUUUUCUCUUGCUCCAUAGAGUGUACAGCUGCUUUAAGCUUAUCUCUACUUCAGAUGCUCGAACGUUUCUCAGUAGCUCGAGCCUGCAAUUUGAGAGUAGCUCGAGGGAUGUCAGUUUGCGCAUUUCACGCCAGUAUGGACCAUAGGGGCUAAACCCGAACAUGGCAAAGUUGUAGCUCAAGUACUUACACCCUAGCGUAGCGGGACGGGAGGAAAUAACUUUAUCGUUUGUGGUGAAGCAAUCCUUGGCCGCCUCCCAAGUACUUAUCACCAAAGCAGAGUGGAUGCUGUUGAUGCUCAAAAUGGCCCGGCCAAUAUCGAGUCCAACUUAGUGAUGAGGUGUGAUGGAUGAUGGAUGAAGGUGAGGACCUUCACCAAGUGUGUGAGGAUUUGGGCAAACGAUAAACAUAUAAAAGACAAGAUAUACGUGGUUCACCCGAAUGAUGGGCUACGUCCACGGAGAAGGGUGUUCUCAUUAUGAUAAUGUUUGUUUACAUUUGUACAAGGGAAUUAGACCCAAAUAUAAAGAUAACAAGUGAGAAGCCCAGGCCAGAGAUGGAUCCAGAAGAGAGAGUCCCCAAGAGCCAGUCCCCUUCUAAGGAAAAAGUAGUCUUCUUUUAUAGGUGAGGGGGAGUCUUCACUUCUUGUAGUUUUCCGAUGUGGGACUCCUCCUGCUUUGCUUAGAGUUGUGAUUUGUGGUGAUGCUUCUUUGGCUAAGGUGAUGACCUCUCAAAGCAUGGCACUCGAAUGAUCUAGCCUAGCUAGUUGCUCGGUCAGUUAUGGUACAAACAGUAGUCCCCCAAGUUCUCGAGUAAGAAGGUACUUCUUGGUUGGGGACUUGUAAUUUUAAGUGCACUGGCCGAGCAACACCAUAGUUCAUCUUCCAAGCUGUAUAGUGCACUACCCAUAGUCCCCCAAGUCCUCGGGUAAGAAGGACAUUUGGAAGGGAGAGAACUUGGCACGAGGGUGCCGAAGGUGAAGGGGUAGCCGAAGGGACAAAGUUGCAUGUAUCAGGGUAAUGUGGUUGGGCACGAGGGUGCCGAAGGCAUAUGAAUUGCAUGUGUCAAGGCGAUGGGCUUAGGCACGAGGGUGUUGAAGGUGACACUAAGCUUGCAUGUUUGCAAGGCAAUGUGUUUGGGCACGAGGGUGCCGAAGGCACAAAGCUUGCAUGUUGCAAGGCGAUGUGGCCUAGGCACAAGGGUGCCAAAGGCAUAAGACUUGCAUGUUGCAAGAUAAUAGAGCUAGGCACGGGGGUGCCGAAGGCAAAGGGGAUGCCGAAGGCACAAAGCUUGCAUGUCGCAAGGCAAUGUGCCUAGGCACGAGGGUGCCGAAGGCAUCACAAAGCUUGCAUGUUUGCAAGGCAAUGUAGUGAGGCACGGGGGUGCUGAAGGCAACACAAAGCUUGCAUGUCGCAAGGCGAUGUGGCUAGGCACGUGGGUGUCGAAGGCGACACAAAGCUUACAUGUUGCAAGGCGACACAAAGCUUGCAUGUUGCAAGGCGACAAAGCUUGCAUGUUGCAAGGCGAUGUGGCUAGGCACGUGGGUGCCGAAGGCGACACAAAGCUUGCAUGUCGCAAGGCGAUGUGGCUAGGCACGGGUGUGCUGAAGGCGACACAAAGCUUGCAUGUUGCAAGGUGACAAAGCUUGCAUGUUGUAAGGCGAUGUGGCUAGGCACGUGGGGGCCAAAGGCGACACAAAGCUUGCAUGUCGCAAGGCGAUGUGGCUAGGCACGGGGGUGCCGAAAGCGACACAAAGCUUGCAUGUUGCAAGGUGAUGUGGCCUCGGCACAGGGGUGCCGAAGGCACAAGGGUGCUUGUGGAUAUUUGGGCUUUCGGCAUGUCCUUGGAGCUGGGCCUUCAAGGCUUCGGCAAGGGCUUGUCCUUGGAGCUAGGCCUUCAAGGCUUCGGCAAGGGCUUGUCCUUGGAGCUAGGCCUUCAAGGCUUCGUCAAGGGCUGGGCUGUGCUGUAAAUUUGGAAGGAGCCGGGGAGGCUUCGGAAUAGAGCUACUGGAGCUGGGUUUUGGACUGGUUUGGAGCUGGGCUGUGAAAGGAUCCUUCGGCAAGGAUUUUGUUGAGCUGUGUGUUUGUGCCCCACAGCCCUUGCCGUUCAGCAGGGGUUAUUUGAACAGUUUCAAGGGCCUUUUUUUUUUAUAGCAUAAUUUACUUCGGCAAGGGUGGAGGGGCGAGACCGGGACUUGUCGUGACCCUCCAAUCAAUUUUUGAACGACCCUUGCCGUUCGGCAAGGGCAAGGUCUUCUAUCUUCGGCAAGGGAGGUCUUUGGAUUUUGAUGGUCUUGGCAAACUCAGUGCAUCAGUCUUUGCUUCAGCACGUCCUUCCGUUCGGCAGGUGACCGUCAUUAACCUUUGUCUCAUACAUGUAAGGUUGCAUUGGGAGCGAACCGAUCGGAAGGAAGAAGAUUUUUGCCAAACGGUAAGGGGCAUUGGGAGGAGCCUUUCGCGAGCCAGCGGGGUAGACUGAGAGCUGGGCCCUUGUUUCGUUCGGCAAGGAGCAAAAGUGGGAACCGGGUAUUAGCCCGGUUUAGAGCUGGGCUCCGGAAUGUUCGGCCCGAUUCUUCUUGGCUUUAGGAUUCUUUCCCAAUGCUUGCCGAACGGCAAAGACCAUGGACAAAAAAAAGGAGCCCCCAAAAUCUUCAACAGCCCAGCCUGCCAAAGGCCCUGCCAAAAAAAAAAAAAGAAAAAGAAAAAGAAAAAGAAAAAAAAGGAGCUAGACCCUUGCCGAACGGCGAGAGCCAUGGAAGAAUUGGAGUCUCCGAAAUUUUCACAAGACCUGGCUCCUUCGAAGGUCUGGCUCCCCUACUGACCCAGCUCCCAUCUUAUCUGCAACAUGCCCAAGUACCCAAGUACCCAGCUACCAUGUGUUGACGCAACUCCUGGCUUGCCAACUUGGGGGACUAGGGAGUGCCCUACGACUCCCAACGAAGCUGGAAUGCUCGGUUACAAUUACAAAACUCACAAGUUCCCAACCCAGAAGUUACUUCUCGACCGCGAACUUGGGGGACUACUGUUUACACCAUAAUGAACCGAGCAGACCCAGCACCAAAGUGACUAGCACCAAGGCAGCCACGCCUUCUCCUGUGCCGAAGAAAGACACACUUCCGAGGUGCCAGACACCUACCGAAGCUCCCAGCUGCCAAACCUAAUUCCAGGACACAUGUCACCACCACAAAGGCUUGCACAAAGUCCCACAUUGGAACUUUGUGCAAAGCUCCCACUUUCACCUCCCUAUAAAUAGGGAACAGUACCUAGGUAAAAGCAAGAACUAUUCUCCCACUUUUACUGUUACUCUGCCAGAAUUACUACUUGUAACUGACUUAGGCAUCGGAGAGCCUUCGGCCGGCACCACACCGGUGUCCGAAGCUUAACGAUUGCUUAUCCCACUUUGUCUUCUGCAGGUUUCCCAUCAACCUAUAUUUCACCAAGGGCCUCAGCUCUCUUCCCUGCUGAAGACCCCGUAUACCUAAUCACUAAGUUGGACUCAAUAUUGGCCGGGCCAUUUUGAGCAUCAACAGAUGCCAAUGUUGACGGUGAAGAUUGGUCCAUAUUUGUCGACCAAGGAAGCCAAAGUUAUGUGAGGCAGCUGAGAUCCUCCGAAUAGGUAGAGAUGACCUAACAGAGGCCACCCACCUCCCACUUUUGGUGGUUUGGAACCCUUGGCUUUGGCACCAGAGCAUGAUCGCUUUAUGAUAAAGUAGGAAAACAGAAGUAUGGCUAAGAUUCCAGCUAUGGCAGUGUUUAGGCAUGGGAGAUACAACUCCAUUGUUGCAAAAGGAAAGGUUGACUUGAGGGUAGCUAUCCAUUGUUGCAAACUCGAUAUCUCAAGUAUUUACUUCUUGGGACAUGAUAAUUGAUGCAGGACCAAUGAUGGAGUUUCGACCAUAAAAAAUAUCCUUAUGAUUGAUAAUUAUUUUUUAUCCGUUUGAUACUAAAAAUGUGUCCAAUCAAUGUUGUCAAGCUAGCGGGUGGAGGUGGAGCUCGCAAAGAAAAGAAGAAGAUUAUGUUGGAUGCUUGUCUGCCGAUUCCUUCCAUCCAUUCCCUCAAAGCCUUUUUCGUGGGGAAAAUGUUAUUGAUGUUGCUUUCUAGGGACGUAGACACAACUUGUCGAGAUUCGUUAAAUAUUUUAUUUAAUUUACUUUAUAUGCAGCUUUAUAUUCCAAUACAUUUUAGUUUAUUUACGACAUCCAAGUUGUUUUGAAAAGGAUUCAUAUUAGCUAUGCAUGGUAUAUAAACUUAUCUGAUGCUCUGUGUGUGUUUUUUUUUUCUUUUUCUAGAAGAUAACACCAACCUAAUAUUAAACCAGUCAUAUAUCCUUGCCUGUUUUUAAUUCUUGUAAAUUAAAGACUUAAACGACAUAAAAAUAGCUAAAUUGGCCCUUUUUUGUUGAUGAGAAAUUCGUAAUUUUUUUUGGUUGAAUAGUAGAAUCUCAAUCAUAUCUUUGUUUUUUAAGUGAGAUGUUUAGAUUCCGGCCGCUGCGCUGUAUAGCUUGAUGAUUGGACUCAAUUAUAAUCCAUUUCUUUUUCCUUUUGGUGAAGAUUAUAGUGCAUUUCUUUCCUGAUUGAAUCUUAUGGGCUGCAAUGUCCGAUGGAUCCACAUAUAAUCAAACUCUCAUAACAUAAAUGGGCCUCACAAUCUUAGCUUAUAUAUACUUGUAUUUAAUUUAUUUUUAUUUAUCAAUGUAAAUAAUACAUUUGAAGAACCUCUAAAUUAAUCAACAAACAGUACAUUUUUAUACUUUAUUCAAACGCUUCAUCACAGAUAGAGAUUACCAGGAAGGCGUGGGGUGAGCAGAACCUCUAAUGGAGUCGCUUUCGGAAUGGUCAAACCUGGACUCUCAGUCAUGUCAAUCCGUUGACCAAGCGGGGUUUCAAACUCAAAUGCAUGAAGCAGACGAGCAAGCGUGAGGUGAAGGACUUGCAUGGCAAACGAGACACCAGGGCACGACCUUCUGCCAGAGACGAACAAUUACGAUUGCAACCAAUAAGCAAUAUAAUUCUUGACAUAUGUGAUAUAUAUAUACUAUUUUUCGUACUUAUUGUGAGUUUGAACUUUUGAUUCUUUAUAAUUUGUAAGAGGCCCCCACACAUAUGAAAUCUUGGCUUCGCCGCUGCCAAAUACACACUUUGUGUUACUUUUGUGCACACUCAUGUAUAUAUAUAUAUAUAUAAUACCUAUGAUAUUAAUAUACAUAAUAUAUACGUAAAAAAAAAAAAAUAUGGGGCCCUUAAAAAUUAGGGACCCUGUACGGUGGCACCAUUUGCACACCCUCAAAGCCGCCCCUGCCUCACAUGAAAAACUAUGUAUUUGAUUUGUUUGCUGCGGUUGAAAAUUCAAUUCUUAUCCCAGCUUAACAUUUGUCCAUGUCAUUUUGCAGAUCUAUAUCUCCAAUGGGCGGGGUUGCCUUGUUAUAUUGGUUUGUAUCCAAAAGCCUCACACAUAUGAAAUGAUUAAUCAUAUGGGCGGGGUUGCCUUGUCAUAUCAUUGUAUUUGUAUCCCCUAAUGUCAUUAAUUUGGACUCACCUGCUUCAUUUCCAUUUUGCAACUUAAUUUUAUUGGUUCAACUUAUCGGCGGCCAAAAUAUGAUUUUCACUGGUUAAAGGGGCGAUGUCUGCUUCCCAACUUUACCUGCUUCAUUUCCAUACGCAUGCAUGGUGAUGGUAAAUUGGUAAUGGAGGGUGGUGGGCAGUCUCACAUGAAAAACUCUUUAUCUAAUUUGUUUGCUACUGCUACGAGACACAGACCAUGGCUCAAAAAUCGACAAAUUUAUUUCCCGUACGUAACACUACUACAAAAAAGCAAAAAGACGACGGUAAAUCACCGUCGUGUAUUGGGUUUUUCAAUGGUCGUGGAAUCCACCGUCAUCUUUUCCCUCAUAAACCACGACGCUAAAUAACCGUCGUUGUUAAAAUAUACAACGUCAUCAACAAAUACAAACGACGUCUUUGUACUGCAAAAAGAUCUAAAAAAGCAAUCGAGGAUGAUAAUAAGACGACCAACUCUAUGUUCGUAAGUCCAAUACUUCCAGUCAUAUCAACUGGUGCGUUUUCUUGAGUCGUGACAUCAAACGAAUGAAGAAAACUAGCCAAAGUUAAAAGUGUCAUCUGAAGGCCAAAACUUAUCCCAGGGCAUGCUCUUCUACCACUGCCAAACGGCAUCAGCUCAAACUGCUGACCCCGAACAUCAACAUCCUUAUGGGUAGUGAGAAAUCUCUCUGGCUUGAACUCCAUCGGGUCGGCCCAAACCCGUGGAUCAGUUUGGAUCUUCCACAGGUUCACUAGCAGCCACGUACCUUUUGGAACAUGGUACCCUCCUACGGUACAGUCUUCUGUGAACUCCCUCUGGCCUGAGAGUGGUCCAGCUGGGCAUAAACGCAUUGCUUCUUUAACAGUGGCCUGCAGGUACACCAGAUUAUUUAUAUCUGACUCAUCCAGCAGUCUUCCUUUGCCAACAUACUGAUCAAGUUCUUCAUAAACUUUCUUCAAAACUUGGCGGUUGUUCAAAAGCAAAGAGAGUGUCCACGUCAGGGUCACCAUGGUUGUGUCACUCGCUCCAGCAAUCAAAAUCUGCACAAUCAAAAUUUUGGUGAUUAUUAAAACAAAUUUAGCCAAUGACCAUUUGGUUUAGCAGCAUCCAGUAUCGACUUUGUUCGACCAGGUGCUGAGUUGAAAUAUGACGGACAAAGGUCGUUGUAGAAAAAAUUAAAAUAAAUUAACAUAUAUACCAAACAUGUUGCUUUGAUGACGGUAUCAGCAUCGAAGCCAGCAACAUCCGUUCCAUCGAUGGCUGAAAGCAUGACAUCCANNNNNNNNNNNNNNNNNNNNNNNNNNNNNNNNNNNNNNNNNNNNNNNNNNNNNNNNNNNNNNNNNNNNNNNNNNNNNNNNNNNNNNNNNNNNNNNNNNNNNNNNNNNNNNNNNNNNNNNNNNNNNNNNNNNNNNNNNNNNNNNNNNNNNNNNNNNNNNNNNNNNNNNNNNNNNNNNNNNNNNNNNNNNNNNNNNNNNNNNNNNNNNNNNNNNNNNNNNNNNNNNNNNNNNNNNNNNNNNNNNNNNNNNNNNNNNNNNNNNNNNNNNNNNNNNNNNNNNNNNNNNNNNNNNNNNNNNNNNNNNNNNNNNNNNNNNNNNNNNNNNNNNNNNNNNNNNNNNNNNNNNNNNNNNNNNNNNNNNNNNNNNNNNNNNNNNNNNNNNNNNNNNNNNNNNUACAAAUAUAUGAGAGUCGUAUUACAAAAUUUAUACGUCCUAUUUUCAGAAACAAACAACGACGAUAAAUAUUAGACGUUGUUAAAUAAAACAACGUCGGAAAAAAAUAAAAACAGACGUGUUUAGUCUGCUAAAGUUCUAGAAAAUAGUCGAGGAUGAGAAUAGACGACCAACUCAAAAAAAUCACCGUCGUUAAAAAGGAAAAAUAUGACACAUAUUAAAAGAACAAGGCCGCAAGAUAUACAUACAACGACAACAACUAAAAUACUACGCCGUUAAAUAUAAUUUACCCGACAAGAAAAAAUAUGACGUCUUUAAAUACAUGAGAAGACGACGUUAUUGAAAUCUACUACGUCUCUUAUUUACAAAAAACCGUCGUGAAAUAAAUUUUCCACUUCGAUUUUUCUAAAAAAGAUGACGUGGAAAUAGUUGUCAGUGUCAUUAUUUACGACGUAUACAUUUAUAUAGUCGACGUUGUAUUUAUAUGUAUUCAUUACUCACGACGCACUUAAUAAUAUAGACGACGUUGAACUUCUAAACAACGUCGGUUCCAAAUAAAUGAGAGCCGUAUUACAGAACAUAUAGACGGCGUAGAUUAUGAUGAGAGCCGUAUUACAAAUAACGUCGUUUAAUUGUUAUUAGACGGCGGUUAUAAUGAACUUCCGUCGGAAUUCAUUUCGUUCCUCUUCGUUUAUAAAAGAACUUGCGACGUGGAAAAUGUAUGAUGACGUCGUAUUUUUUAACGUUCAGAUUAUAUAUCUCGUUUUUUAGACGUCGGUAUUAUGGGAUUGGAGUCGUGUUAUUCUGAAUUACAUGGCGGUUCUUAAUCCUUCACCGACGUGAUAUCCUGAAUAAUUGCUUCACAAUAGCGUCGUGGUUCUUCAUUGUUACGUUGCUUUAAGACGUCGGUAAAUAUGCUGAAUAACUGAUUCACAAUAACGUCGUGUUUUAUUUGAACGUAGAAAGUGAAGAAAUCGCAUUACAAUAUAUUACAAAAUUAAUGUCAUACACUGCCAAUUACAUAAGCAUCAUUCAAUCCAUAUAUCUUCACACUCAUCUCGAAUAUUUUGACCGCCUAACUCACCUACCAGUUCAUCAAAUGUGUCAACAUUUGGCAUCCCUCUAGUAAAUGGCUCACACUCAAUUAUCACAUCACCUAAGACUUCAUCACCAAUAACAUCAUUAUAUUCUCUAUUAGGCAUUGAUAACACUACCGACCAACCACGAUGCAUCGGGUCGUCAACAAAAAAUAUUUGUUUGACUUGAGAAGCCAAAACAAAUUGGUCAUUCCUAUGUCCAAUUUUACUCAAAUCUACAAGGGUAAAUCCAAGUUCGUCGACUACAAGACCAGAACUAUCUAUCCAAUCACACCUAAAGACUGGGAUUGUAAACUUUUGGUAGUCAAGGUCCCAAAUUUCUUGACUGACACCAUAGAAACCCAUAUUUGAGAGAAUUGGGUUUUUAUCCUUGGCACUAGCAACUUGCAUGGUAUGUGCAAGUAAAUAAACUCCACUAUUUUGAGUUGUCCGCACAUCAUCUUGUGCCUUGAUAUUGAAUUUAAUACCUUUAAUAAGAUAGCUCCUAUAUAAUGGCACUGACAUGUUUGGACCAGCUGCUAGCCACCUUAAAUUUUCUGAUACGCCAUGAUUGUCUUCCUCAAGUUCACUUUGAACCUGCAAAUUAAUCAUAUCUUAAUUCAAUCUAACAUAUAAAUAAGAAGAAAAUUAAUAGAGAAAUAUGUUAUUCAACAACAUAUACCUUGAAGCGUAGCCAUUGAAUGAAAGUGCUAUUGUGCUUAUCCUGCAGCCACUUUGUUCUCUUUCUAAAUUUUGGAUAAGCAGUCUUGAUGUGAAUCAUAUGUUGCUUACAUGACACGAAAAAUUCAAGCAUUACGGUCCUAAAUAUAGAAGAUAAACAUAAGAAAUAAUUUAAAAUGGAAACUUAAAGAAUAAAGCUCAUACGUACUCGAUAUAAGGUAGGACUUCCUCCGUAUUCUCCAAGACAUAUAGAUGUGCUUGAUUCAACAGGUCCUGAUCAACUACGCUCACUGUGCAACCUGAUAAUGGCUUUGAAAGUCCCUUCUUUUGGCUUGAAGGCACUCCAACUGUACUAACAUCAGAUAAAUGCUGAGUACAACACUCUACCCCCAAUCACAUUGGCAAACUCAUACGAAUCGGAACCAAAAUCAUUAUCAUCCAUAUCAAUUUCUUCAGACACAAAACUGUACCUACUAUGGCCAUCAUCUUCUUCAAUAUUUCUACUAGCAUUAGUAGUUGCUUCCCAAGGUUCUCCGUGAAAUGUCCAAUUCUUAUAGCUUUGGUCAAUUCCAUUAAAGUAUAAGUGAUCCCUUAUAAUUCCAACCCCAAACAACUUCAAAUUAACACAUUUAACACAUGGACAACGGAUAUGUGUUGUAGUUAGAAGAUUUUCUACAGCAAAGUUCAAAAAUGCUUCCACCCCAAACUCAUAUGCCUUCGAUCUUCUAUCCGCGUGCAUCCAUGACUUAUCCAUCUCCGACACUAUAACCUAUUAUCUAUAAUAAAGUGAAAAUACAGGCAAUGACCAUCACUAUAGCAGAUUAUACAAAGAUCUAAUAGCAAGUAAUACACAACAGAGACGACGGGUUUUAAACAAAAACAGACGUAUUUGGCAUAUAUAGACGACGGAUUUUCAACAGACGUCGUCUAAUAUAAGUAAUACAAACGACGGUUUAUGAAAACACCGUCGUGUAUAAGUAAUACAACGACGGUUUUUUCAUAAACCGUCGUGUAAUCGUCGUCGUAUGCCUAAAAAGGCGUCGUGUCUCAGUUUAUUUUCAAGAACCCAAAACCCAUUAAGAACACAACAUAUAUAUGAAACCAAGCAAGAAAACAACAUAUACAUGAAACCAAGCAUGAAAACAAUAAAUCCAUUCCCAAUUCAACAUAACAUAGGGUGAUUAAAAGAUCCGACAAAAUUAAAUCCAUUCCCAAUUCAACAUAACAGAUAAUGUAAUCCAUGAACCCAUUAAACAGAAAAUCCAUGAACCCAUACUUAUAAGCACAUUAUUAACAGAUCGCAAAGCAUAUACCUAAAACCCUUUAACAAAACAACCUAAUAUCAUUCAAUGAAUUUACAAGGGGAAGAUAGGGUUUGUACUUACAGGUUGGACGAGCUCACAGAUUCGACGGAGCAGAAGUGACAGAGCAACUUUUAAUUAGAGCAACUUUUAAUUAGAGCAGAAGUGAGAGAGCGAAAUGUUAUGUUGCACGAAAUCUGAAAAUUUUAGGGUUCGGGGUUAGAAGAAUAAGAAUAAGAGCCAAAUAUAAAAAAAUUUAGGACGCGCGAAAAUUUUUAGAGCGCGCGCUCUUUAAAACGUCGAAAGAAAAACCAUGGCGAAAGUUCUACAAGAACCGACGUAAAUGUAAUAUUCCACGACGGAAACACUGAACGUAACGCCGUUUAUUUUGACGCUUCAUUUUUCGGAUUAAUUUUAAAUUUAUUUUCAAUAUUUUGAUAUAAAGACGACUGAAAAACCACGUCGGGGUUAAGAAAUUGAAAACGUUGUAAAUAAUAAUACACGACUUACAUAUUAAAAUGACGUCGUUUAACGCAGAAACCAUGUCGGAUAAUUUACUGCACGACGUAACAUAUGUAUUCCACGACUCAACCACCGUCGUUAACAAUUAAUACCCUAAACCCUUAAAACUAAAUUAUAUAAUUUAAAAAAUUAAGUUUAUAAAAGGGUUUAUGGUUUUACAGCCUAAUAUAUACCCUAGACUACCCAAAAAUUAUACUUUAAAAAUAAACCCCAAUAAAUAACAACCCUAAUCUCUAAACCCUAGACUCUAAACCCUAAACCAUAAAACUAGAAGUGAUUUUAUGACUCAUCAAAAUAAUUUUGUUUUGGAUGUUCAUUUUAAAUUUUUGUUAUUGAAAAUGAAUUUUUUCAAGCUUUAGGGGGAAGAAAAUAUAUCAAUGACUUCAUAGGAGUUGACUUUGCAUUUUUCUGAUUUAUUUUAAAUUUAUUUUGAAUAUUUUGAUAUAAAAAUAAUAAAAUAUUCUUAUCACAACAACAAACCACGUCGGUGUUAAUAAAUUGUAGACGUUGUAAAUUGUAAGAGACGACUAAGUUGUUAAAAUGACGUCGUUUAAAUGAGAAACGAUGGCGGAUAUUUAACUAUCCGACGUAAAAUAUAUAUUCCUCGACUUAACCGCUGUCGUUACAAAGUACUACCCUGAACCCUUAAGAAAUUGAAGAUGUUGUAAACCAUAAACGACUCCAUUGUUCAAAGAACGUCAUCUAAAUAUCCUUUUACGUCGGAUUUGUUUAAAACGAAACCACAAAAAACGACGGCUUUUGACUUUAUUACGUCGUUGGAAAAUUAUUACACGUCGGUAACGCAUUUUGUAUGUUUGUUUUUGUUUUUACUUUAAGAAAACCUCAACAAAUUUUUACAUUAUAUAUUAUAGACAAAAUUUGUACAUUAUACAUAAAUAUCAAGUGUUCAAUAAUUCCCCUAUUCCAGUUGAAGGCAAACAAACUCUGCCCAUUCAUUCCGGACUUCAUCAAUUGCUUCUUGGGGGUAUGGCUCUUCCUGUUUUCCCUUCGCAUACUGCAUAAAAACAAUGACUAUUAGGGUUUAUAAAUAAAAGGAAAUUCAAUCACAGACGACCAUAACCGACGUAGUAUAUCUAUUCAACGACGGUAAUUUUACAUGACCGUCGUUGAUAAUACAAAAAACGACGUAAAAUGUUUGAAGGUUAUUUCUUCUUACCUUCUUCUCAAACCCCAAGGAAGGAUCCAUGAUGAUGUCCUUCAUGAAGCGCAUCACGUAAUACCCGCAUUCGACAUUGCUGGGUUGCUUUGGUGUGCCUGACAGAGUUUUCCAAAUGACUGCCUUACGGCUUGAUCUGGCUAUGUGGGAAUUAUAAAUUUUUAUGGCACUGUUCACGAUGUUUUUGGCCUCUUCAUCGACCACACGAUUUCCUGGCAGAGGAUCCAGAAAAUAGACUGUUUCCCUCUUUGCUCUUACAAUCAGCAAGAUCCAAUGACGGCUGCACAAAAUUAAUAUAAAAACGACGGUUAUUUACAAAAACGACGUAUUAUAAUAUUUCACACGACGAAAUAAAGUAGCAAUCGACGACAUUAUAUAUUUAUCACGACGAUAAAUAACUACCGACGUGGUUAGUAGUUUCAAACGACUCAAUAAAAUAAAACACCGACGUGGUUAGUUUAUACGCUGUCAUUUAUUGAAAAUCAUAAAAACAAAAUCCUGUUAAGGAGACUAACCCUGGAUUGUAAGGCAUCAGGAAAAUCUGUUCACCGUCAGUCUUCUGAAGUCGUGAUGCUACCAUUCGUGAUCUGUCAGCUAUUGUGCCAGAGCUGGCACUAACUGUAGCAGGGUCGAUAAAGCCAACCAUUGUGCACAUAUUUGCUUGUUUUAAAACAUCGUGUAAGUACCUAAAUAUAUAAAAUAAUAUAAACAAGUCAGCGCAAAAAAAACACACGACGGUUAUGUAUAACAAAACGACGUAUUAUAAGGUUUCACACGACGUACUGAAAUAGACAACGACGUUAUAAUAUAUUUAUCACGACGGUACAUACUAACGACGUGGUUAGUUAGUUAAGACGACGCAAUAAAUAAACCAACGACGUAUUAUUUUAGAAUGACAAACCUCAUAUAUACAAAAAAACACACGACGGUUAUGUAUAACAAAACGACGUAUUAUAAAAUUUCACACGACGUACUGAAAUAGACAACGACGUUAUAAUAUAUUUAUCACGACGGUACAUACUAACGACGUGGUUAGUUAGUUAAGACGACGCAAUAAAUAAACCAACGACGUAAUUUAUCACGACGGUACAUACUAACGACGUGGUUAGUUAGUUAAGACGACGCAAUAAAUAAACCAACGACGUAUUAUUUUAGAAUGACAAACCUCAUAUAUACAGCAAUGACUGUAGCUCCUAUUUCCUCCAUGCCUGCAAAUUGUGUAAUAUCUUCAGGCAGGAGGAAGGUAUCGCGCUCUAGACCAAAGACCUCCUUAUCAAUUGUAAAGUGCAGGGUCUUAUCCUGAGGCACGAGUGUCGUUUUCACAUAACGACAAAGGGUUUGUAAAGAAGAUGGCGCCUCCAUAUUUGAAUAAUCAACAAUUUUGGUAACCUGUUUAAAGAAAUAAAAAAAAAUGACGUGGUAAUUCAAUAAAAACGACGGUUUAAGGAAUAAAACGUCGUCUGAAAAUAAUUUAAACGACGGUGAAAAAACCGUCGUGGUGAAUUAUUUAUUACGUCUUAGAAAACAAUUCCGCCGUCUAAGUUGUAAACAAACGACGGUUUAAAGAAAAAUAUCGACGUCUGGAAUUUUGAAAAACAAAUAAAAAAGGCAAAGUUAUGUGAACAUACCUGGUCGUCAUCUUCUUUCUGCUUUUCAUCUUGUUUUUCUUCUUUAUUCUCUUCAUCUAUGACGUCGGGAAUGAUUAACUCCGUCGUCUAAAAACCACAAAGUUUUAAAAAUAACGACGUUUAAUGGCGUGUAAAACAAGUAAACUAAAUACGACGUGGUAUUGAAAUACAAACGACGGUUUAUUUUUAAAAUCGUCGUGGUAUGUAUUUCAAACGACAGUUUUAUUAAUAAUAACGACGUCUAAUGGUUUUUAAAAAAACAGAGAAUUCAAAGUUCAGAUAUGUUACCUUUUCUUCCUGAUGUUUCCCAUUUUUGGCAGUAUCAUCCUCAAAAUGCUGGGAUCUCACAUCACCUCCAGAGCAGCUUGCUUUGUCAGACAUUGGAUUUUUGGGACUUUGGCUAAUUCUGGGUUUAAGCAUGCUUGGAUCAAAAUUGGGAAUUAAUUGGGAAAGCUGACUCAGGAAAUGCUCCCUCUCAGCCUCUACCAAUUGUUUCGUUCUAGCCUCCAUCCUUAAAGCCUCUUCCCUUGCCUUAGCCUCCAUCUUUCUAGUCUCUUCUUGAAGGAGAACUCUUAAACUGUCCUUCAAACGGUCGUCAAAGCUCACUCUCUGUGGUUUGGGUAAAUUGAAAUAUUGCUUUGGUGAGAUCCCAGCACCUACUCCUCUGACUCUGCCUGGAUGCUCGGGGCCCAAAGCCAUGGUCAGCACAUCAUUGCUGCCAGAGACGGUGACUUUGCCUUCCGAGACUUGUUUUUGCAAAUCAUCCUGAAACAAAGAUAUAUAAAAAAGUAAGAACAAAAACACACGACGGUUAUUUAUAUACAAACGACGUAUUAUAUAAUUUCACACGACGCAAUAACAUAUAAAUCGACGUUAUUAUAAUUUAUCACGACGGUAGUUAUACUGACGUGGUUAGUUUUUUAAAACGACGAAAUUAAUAAACCACCGACGUCUUAUGUAACAGAGGGAUGAUUCAAUAUUCACACCUUUAACGACGUUGUUUAAAACAUUUCGACGUAGUAAUUUAAUACAGACGACGCGAAAUUGAACCACCGACAUCUUAUGCUAUAAUUACAGAAAACAGAGUUGUGAUUCCUAUUUAGACCUUUAACGACGUGUUUUAAAAAAUGUCGACGUGGUAAUAUCAUUCACACGACGCAAAAUAUAACAUAAGACGUAAUAAGAAUUAUUCACAGUUUAAUAAAAAUUUAAAACAGAGUGAGUAGGCUUACAAUUAAUUUUGCUUUCUCUGCCACCUUUGGAUCAGGGAUGUUACCAUGUUUGUCCUGUCUAGCUCUCUUCCAUAAGGUAGAUCGAUCAAUUUCUACCCCAGGCAUGGUUUCCUCUAAUUGAUCCUCCAAACCAGCAUAUCCUUUUCGAGACAAUCGAUGAUUGUACUCGAGUUUCUCCCUAAUCUGUGCAUGUUGAGAAUGCACAGACUCAAAAUCUUUGGAUAGCCUUGAAGCUACAAAGGCAUCCCAUUGUGCUUUCUCUAUGAAUUUAUAUGUUUCAGGGGGUUGGCUUAAUCUCUCCCUGUCAUUGGUGUAUGGAAGGAUAUAAUGCCUCGUUAGUGUAGACUUGAAAUCCUUCCAUUUCUUGGCAGCAGAAGCUAAGACAGAGUUCUUGCCCUCUUGACCUACUACAAAAGCAAUGUCAACUGCUUCCCAAAUCUGCUCCUUUAUAUCCUUGGGGAUUUGAGCCCAUUUCAAGUCCACAAGUGGGACUCUGGAGCGUGCCAACACACCAAUAUAGGACUGCAUCUCACUGUGUGCUUGGCCAAUUCCUUUCCCCCUUUUAUUGUACUCAACAAUUGGCCUCAGUUUUUGAAGUUUUCUCUUCACAACACGAGGCAUUGUGCUCAUACCUCGACCAGCCUUUGAAUCAUCAGAGAUUGUUGUCGCGCUGGUUGGUUCUGUAUCAGCAGAUGAUGAAGCAAACUUCAUCUUCUUCGAAGACUUCAUUAUCUUCGAAGACUUCUCUUGAGGAGGUACUUGCUCCUUACCUCCAUUUUUGUUGGAGCCAGAAUCCUUACUUUGGUCUUGGUGAGAAACCAUUUUUACAGACAAAACUGCAAGUGAAAAUAUUUCAAGAAAAGAUUAAGAACACAAACGACGGUUAUUAAUAAAAGACGACGUAUGAUAUGAUUUUAAACGACGCAAUGAAAUAAUAUCAGACGUAAUAAAUGUUUAAAACCAAGGUAAUUAAACAACGACGAAAUAAUUAACUACAAACGACGUAAUAAUUAACUAUAAACGACAGAAUAUUUAUAUAACGUCGUGGUAUUGAUGUUCACACGACGUCAGUAGUAAUAUACCGUCGUCUAUAUAAGGAUCCAAAACCCUUCUUUCUUUCUCUGUGAAUGUUUGAUUGCAGAUUUGAUUUUUCUGAACCAUGGUUUUUGUUUUCUAAUUUGAUAAAAUACAAGGCCAAGAAAGAAAGUUUUGGAAUCUUAUAUAGACGACGGUAUUUUAAUAUGACGUCGUGGUAUUAACAUUCACACGACGUAAAACAAUAAGAUACUGUCGUCUAUAUUAGAUACCAACCCUAAUUUCUUUUUCUUUAUAUUUUAUCAAAUUAGGGAAAAACAAAAACCAUUGUUCAGAGAAAUCAAACCUGCAAUUAAACAAGCAAAUAAAAAAAGACUAUAAUUUUAAAAACAACUUUGUCAAUUUUCAGACGACGCUAGAACGACUGACGAACCGUCGUGGUCUACAUAUUUAACCACGUAAAUAAGAAGCUACCGUCGUCUUAUUUAGUUGAGGUAGUUGUCUUCAAAGUUGGAAACUUUCCCUCUUUGUCUGUAUAUUUUUUCGAACUUGGAAAGAAGUAAAAUGAUUUUGGCCAGAAAAAAGGUAAAAAGAUUUUUCAAACAAAAAACGUAUGAGCAUGCAAAACAGCAACCAAAAUAGUGAAAAUGAAAGCUUACCUUUUGCGUGCAAUGAAAGCAAGAGGAAGACGAUCGAUGUUUAAGUUCAGAGACGACGAAGAAGACGAGAGGAAGACGAUGAGAUACUCUGAAAGUGCUCUGACAAGGAAAAAAGUCUAAAAGUUUUCUCUGGGAGAUUGAAAUUUUUAAUCGGGUUUGGAAACAGUGCAUGUGUAAGACAGGUACACGAAAAGUUGCUUACAUAUAAAACCAUUUCAAAAAAUAAUACGGCGGUUACAUAUAACUACGACGUAUAAAUUACAAAAUACGACAGUACGUUUAACUUCGGACGUGGUAAAUAAGUACGACAGUAGUGUUGUAGGUACCGUCGUAGUAAACUCAAAAAUUAAAGUACAUAAAUAAUAACUCGCGUCAUGGUAGAUCAUUUAACACGUCGAUUUUAUUAAUGUACCGACGUGGAUUUAUGUAAUAUACGUCGGUCAUAACGACGUUGAUUUUAAAAUUUAAACGGCGGUUUUUUUGUAAGGACCGCCGUUGGUUUUAAAAAUUUAUUCUAUAAAUUUGUCGCUUUCAUUCAUUUUCGGUUUACAUUUAGGGUUCCAAGUUCUUCCUCUCUCAGAGACACUGUCUCUCACAUCUCAAAGACAGUAAUUUGGAUGUCUUUCUCAAAGAGAAAUUGAGCUUACUCGCAUCAAAUCUAUGUCCACAAGAAGAAGCUUGUCAACUAGCCUUCUCACUUCCUUGAUCAAGCCUGAUAGGACACUUAGUGCUUCUGAAUACUCCUUGCUUUCCAUCAAAAGAGAUGCAAGCCUGGCCUCCACUCGCUGUCGAAGGAAAGUUCGCUUCUCAGGGAAAUCUGAAGAUCAGAUGUGCCUGAUCCUCUGCUUGAUUUUCUUGGCUAAGAAGAUCCGUCAGAUUUGUGAUAGCCUCUUCCUUUAUCCGUAGAGCUUCAGAAGAAGAAGAUGGGUUUCAAGAAUGCGAUAAAGAAUAGAAAUGGCUUCAUGAAUGCGAUAAAGCAUGAGCAAUCGAAUCAGUGCUUUGAACUAUACUCUGAACUAUACAAGUCAAUGCUUUGAACUAUACAAGUCCUGCAGAAAGAUAAAGGACCAUACUGUUAAAGAAACUGAAACUAUUAAAGAAACCAUAAACUAACACGACGCAAUAUUUGUUUUGCGACGUGGAAUCUUUUCAUUUAACGUCGUUAGGUUUAAUAUAACCGACGUGGAUUUGAAUUGUGAAAUUAUGAAUAGAAAUUUUUUUCCCGUGACCUUUCAGUUUAUUUUUCAAUUACAGUGCGUUAUAAAUAGAGUUUUUUUUCUGGAGGAAAUUUAAAAUGAAGGAAAUUAAUGUUCUGGAUUAUGUAAAGUUUCUUUUUUGGAUGACAGAUUUCAAUUCUUGUCAUUAAGUAGAUCUACCGACGUAGGAUAAGAAAAUAAAGGAAAAAAUUGUUAACAAAAAUUCUUAUUAAGACGACGGUUUAAAUUAAAGGUACGACGUAUAAAAUUAAUAAAUACGACGUUAAAUUUUAUAGUACGAUUUAAAGAUAACGUCGUAGAACUAUACGAUAAUAACGUCGAUAUAUUUAUAUUUUCCGUCGUUGUAAAUUAAUUUAAUACGGCGACAUUUUGUAUUUUAAAGCCGUCGAUUUGUUUGUAAUUAUACGGUGUCUUAUACGAAAAUUUCGUCGUGUUAUUUUAUGAGUAAAAACGGCGGCUUUUAUUGAAAUCGUCGUCUUUACUUUCUACGUCGGUCGAUUCAUAACUUCUGCCGUUCUUUGUUGGCUUUGAUUUUACACUGCGGAAAUCUGUUUCAAAUAGACGUCGGUUUUUUAAUUAGGUACGUCGUUAUUUUUGAACAGCCAUUUGAAUCUCCAUUUUUAGUUGUCUAAGGUGGUAUUACACGACGGUGUUUUUAGAACCGUCGUCUUUUUAAAAACCACGACGGUUUUCACUUAGACCGUCGUCGUUUUCUAGUCGUCUUUUUCACUUUUUGUAGUAGUGUAACUUCUAGUAGUCUAUUCCUUCCCAAGAAUAGCAUUUGUCAAAAGUAGAGGAAUUUAUAAACUGGAACUGUUUAGUUUAAUACAUUCACAACAUAUAUUGCAUAUGUGCAUUUUAUUCUCACAUAUAGCUAAAUUCUCACUCUCAACUAUUUAAUCAUACAAAUUAGGAGACAAGCGUGGUUUGACGAGGACAUCAAGAGGAGUCAGUUUUAUGUUCGUAAGUCCAAUACUUCCAGUCAUAUCAACUGGUGCGUUUUCUUGAGUCGUGACAUCAAACGAAUGAAGAAAACUAGCCAAAGUUAAAAGUGUCAUCUGAAGGCCAAAACUUAUCCCAGGGCAUGCUCUUCUACCACUACCAAACGGCAUUAGCUCAAAUUGCUGACCCCGAACAUCAACAUCCUUAUGGGUAGUGAGAAAUCUAUCUGGCUUGAACUCCAUCGGGUCGGCCCAAACCCGUGGAUCAGUUUGGAUCUUCCACAGGUUCACUAGCAGCCACGUACCUUUUGGAACAUGGUACCCUCCUACGGUACAGUCUUCUGUGAACUCCCUCUGGCCUGAGAGUGGUCCAGCUGGGCAUAAACGCAUUACUUCUUUAACAGUGGCCUGCAGGUACACCAGAUUAUUUAUAUCUGACUCAUCCAGCAGUCUUCCUUUGCCAACAUACUGAUCAAGUUCUUCAUAAACUUUCUUCAAAACUUGGCGGUUGUUCAAAAGCAAAGAGAGUGUCCACGUCAGGGUCACCAUGGUUGUGUCACUCCCUCCAGCAAUCAAACUCUGCACAAUCAAAAUUUUGGUGAUUAUUAAAACAAAUUUAGCCAAUGACCAUUUGGUUUAGCAGCAUCCAGUAUCGACUUUGUUGGACCAGGUGCUGAGUUGAAAUAUGACGGACAUAGGUCGUUGUAGAAAAAAUAAAAAUAAAUUAACAUAUAUACCAAACAUGUUGCUUUGAUGACGGUAUCAGCAUCGAAGCCAGCAACAUCUCUUCCAUCGAUGGCUGAAAGCAUGACAUCCAUGAAAUCUUGAUCUUUUCCUUUAGUUCUUUUCUGCUUGUGCUCCUCCAACCAUUCCGCAACAAUACUGUCCAAUUCUUUGGCAGUUUUCUUCAUGGCCUUCUGCUGUCCACCCAAAUCCAACCAACUAAGCCAAGGAACAGCAUCUCCCAACACAAACAAUCCCACCAAAUGAAAGAACUCUCUCAUGGCUUUUUGCCACCGCCUUGCCUCCUUCUCCUCACUCAAAUUCCCAUUCAUAAAGCAUCUCUUUCCAGCAACCAUCCUAAAAAUCACAUUUAGAGUCAAAUCCCCAAACCACUGCUUCAUCUCCACUAAACGCUCCCCCGAGCUUUCUUUUCUUUUGAUCCAUAAAGUGUACAGCUCUUUCAAACUCAUCUCCACUUCUGAUACUCGAACUUUUUUCAGAAGCUCGAGCCUGCGGUUUGAGAGUAACUCGAGGGAUGUGAGCUUGCGCAUUUCGCGCCAGUAUGGACCGUAGGGGCCAAACCCGAACAUGGCAAAGUUGUAGCCCAAGUGCUUUGCUCCUAGCGUAGCCGGACGGGAGGAAACAACUAUGUCGUUUGUGGUGAAGCAGUCCUUGGCCGCCUCCCAAGUACUUAUCACCAGAGCAGAGUGGAUACCAAUGUUGAUGGUGAAGGCUGGUCCAUACUUGUCAACCAAGGAAGCCAAAGCUAUGUGAGGAAGCUGAGAUCCUCUGAAUAGGCCAAAAUGACCUAACAGAGGCCACCCGCCUGCAACUUUUGGUAGUUUAGGACCCUUGGCUUUGGCAGCUGAGCUUGAUCUCUUUAUGAUAAAGUAGGAAAAUAAAAGUAUGGCUAGGAUUCCAGCUAUGGCAGUGUUUAGGCAUGGGAGAUACAACUCCAUUGUUGCAAAGGGAAGGUUUGAGGGUAGCUGUCAUUCAUGCAGUAGUUCUUAUUUAUAGUCAAUAUCAGUGUUUUUUCUUCGUGGGACUUUCAGGUCAGCGUUCUUAAGUUUGUUUUGGAAGAGGGCCAAUGAGGAUUGUUUUCUAUAAGAUAAUUCGUAUUUAUUUGACUCACUCAAUAUAAUAAUUGAUGCGUAGGAUAGGAAGCAAACUGUACUUGGCAACGUUCUGAUCAGACAAGAAAAUGGGUUAUUUUAAUAGAAUUUGACGUCAUCGCUGCAACAUUCGGAAAAGUACCCCUGAGGUGAUGAAAUAACCUUCGUGAUUGAAGAUUAUCUUUUGCACCGUUUGAGACUUAAACUUAUCUCCUUUGACCCAAAAAAAAAAAAAGUAUUUAAACUUAUCUCCUUUGAACAAACAAAAAAAUUAUUUAAACUUAUCCGAGACUCUGUUUUUUUAAUUUCUCUAGAAGAUAACAUCAACCUAAUAUUAAGCAGUCCUAUAUCCUGCCAAAAUUGCUUUUGCAAUAAGCAGUUUCACUUUGGCCUUUCUUCAGCUCAGCAAUUAAAUUAUCAAUCGGCUUUCCCUAGCGGUAUACCAAGUUUUGUCCUCCUGUUCUCUCUUGAUUAAUUUUCUUCUUGUUCAUCUAUUACUAUUUGGAUAAUGCUUGGGACAUCAUCUUUUUGUACUAUAUUUGUGCACCAAUUUAUGUGACUGUUGAGUUAGCUAUGCCACAUCGUUAAGUGAGUUUUUAAUAUUUUUUUCACCUUUCACUUUACAAUCAUUUAAAUCAUAUUAAAAUUAUUUUAAAAAAAAAAAAAUCUCCAUUCUCUUCUCCUACCUCUUAGCCAGCUAACCCUCUCUCCCUCCUUAAUCAACCUCAUCUUUCAGCCAUCCCUCUCCAGUUGCCCAUCCUUCCCUCAGCCAUAAUCUUGUACAUGAACCUACCCUCAACCAUACACCAGAUUUCCCAAACAUUGAAAAGUGAAUCUCACCUACAGGUAUAGGGUCGAAAUCUUUUGAACAAUCACAAGGACACUGAGGGCAGGAACUUUUCUCCUUCAAGCUCCAGUGCAAAGAUGGACGUAUAUCCAACCAAACACACCGCCAUUAAACAAAAACUAGCCUCACAGCAAAAAAAGACAAAACUCAACUUCGGUUUGUUUGUUUCCAAAUUUACAGAAAGUCCAAGAUCGUAUCAAAAACCCAUUUCAGGUCCGGGGUUACAUAACUCAGAAUAUCAAUUAAACUCAAAACUUGACUGCACUUGAAAAAAAAUUAAUAAUAUCCAAUCAAAAAUGCCCAUUUCAAGAUCUGGGACCUGCAAUGAGAAUCUGACAAACUCAAUGACUGGUGUAUGGCUGAGGGAAGGAUAGGCGACGGGAGAGGGGUGGCUGAAAGGUGGGGUUGAGUAGGGAGGGAGGGUUGGCUGGGUAGGAGGUAGGAGAAGAGAGCAGAGAUUUGUUUUAAAAUUUUAAUGAUUUUAAUAUGAUUUAAAUGAGUCUGUAAAGUUUAAGGUCAAAAAAUAAUAAAAUAUUAAAAAUUCAUUUAAUGAUGUGGUAUCGACAAAUGUAUGUUAACUAAAAAGUGGAAUCCAUUUGUCAAAACUAGAGGAAACGCAUGAAGCUCAUUGGGCAUAAGUAGAAGAUAGAUUUAGUAAAGCCAAACUUUUUAGAUUAGGGUCAUGCUAGGGAGAUCAACUUUAAAUAUCAACUUGUGUACUAACUCUCUAAUAGAGGUGGAGCCCACCAAUACAAUGGGUCCCACGCUCUAUUAGAGAGUUGGUAUACAAGUUGGUAUCUAAAGUUGGUCUCCCUAGCAUUUUCCUAGAUUUAAUACAUUCAGAACAUGAACAUAAGCAUAUGUACUUUUCAUAUCGUAGCAUUUAUUUUCAUAUAUAUAUAUAUAUAUAUAUAUAUCUAAGUUCACAAUUCUGAACUUAUUCAUAAAGAUUUGGAGACAAGCGUGGUUUAACGAGGACAUCAAGAGGAGAGAGUUUCAUGUUUGUAAGUCCAGCGCUUCCGGUCAUAUCAACCGGUGCAUUUCCUCGGGUCGUGACAUCAAACCAAUGAAGAAAACUAGCCAAAGUUAAAAGCGUUGUUUGAAGGCCAAGAUUUAUCCCAGGGCAUGCUCUUCUACCACUACCAAACGGCAUCAGCUCAAAUUGCUGACCCCGAACAUCAACAUCCUUAUGGGUGGUCAGAAAUCUCUCUGGCUUGAACUCCAUCGGGUCGGCCCAAACCCUUGGGUCAGUUUGGAUCUUCCACAGGUUCACUAACAGCCACGUGCCUUUUGGAACAUGGUACCCUCCUACAGUACAGUCCUCUGUGAAUUCCCUUUGGAAUGAGAGUGGUCCAGGUGGGCAUAAACGCAUUGCUUCUUUAACAGUGGCAUGCAGGUACACCAGAUUAUUUAUAUCUGACUCAUUCAACUGUCUUCCUUUGCCAACAUGCUGGUCAAGUUCUUCAUAAACUUUCUUCAAAAUUUGGCGGUUGUUCAAAAGCAAAGAGAGUGUCCACGUCAGGGCCACCCUGGUUGUGUCACU